rnacentral:rRNA from 1 species
AUUGAACGCUGGCGGCAGGCCUAACACAUGCAAGUCGAACGGUAACAGGAAGUGCUUGCACUUUGCUGACGAGUGGCGGACGGGUGAGUAAUGCUUGGGAACUUGCCUUUGCGGAGGGGGAUAACAGUUGGAAACGACUGCUAAUACCGCAUAAUGUCUACGGACCAAACGGGGCUUAGGCUUCGGCGCAGAGAGAGGCCCAAGUGAGAUUAGCUAGUUGGUGGGGUAAAGGCUCACCAAGGCGACGAUCUCUAGCUGUUCUGAGAGGAAGAUCAGCCACACUGGGACUGAGACACGGCCCAG